rnacentral:rRNA from 1 species
UACGGGGGGGGCAAGCGUUGUUCGGAAUUACUGGGCGUAAAGGGCGCGUAGGCGGCCUGCUAAGUCGAACGUGAAAUCCCUGGGCUCAACCCAGGAACUGCGUCCGAUACUGGUUGGCUUGAAUCCGGGAGAGGGAUGUGGAAUUCCAGGUGUAGCGGUGAAAUGCGUAGAUAUCUGGAGGAACACCGGUGGCGAAGGCGGCAUCCUGGACCGGUAUUGACGCUGAGGCGCGAAAGCCAGGGGAGCAAACGGG